rnacentral:rRNA from 1 species
GACGCACGCUGGCGGCGUGCUUAACACAUGCAAGUCGAGCGGAGCGGCGAACGGGUGAGUAACGCGUGAGUAACUGCCCCCCUCUCUGGGAUAACAGUUGGAACCGGCUGCUAAUACCGGAUAGUGGGGGAUGACUCGCGUCCUAUCAGCUUGUUGGUGGGGUAGUGGCCUACCAAGGCGACGACGGGUAGCCGGCCUGAGAGGGCGACCGGCCAGAUUGGGAUGGAUUACGGCCCGAACUCCAACGGGAGGCAGCAGUAGGGAAUAUUGAACAAUGGGGGAAACCCUGAUGCAGCAACGCGCGUGCAGGAUGACGGCCUUCGGGUUGUAAACCGCUUUCAGCCAUGACGCGGUAGUGGCGGAAGAAGCACCGGCUAACUACGUGUCAGCAGCCGCGGUAAUUC